rnacentral:rRNA from 1 species
UACGGGGGGGGCAAGCGUUGUUCGGAAUUACUGGGCGGAAAGGGCUCGUAGGCGGCCAACUAAGUCAGACGUGAAAUCCCCAGGCUCAACCUGGGAACUGCGUCUGAUACUGGAUGGCUUGAAUUCGGGAGAGGGAUGCAGAAUUCCAGGUGUAGCGGUGAAAUGCGUAGAUAUCUGGAGGAAUACCGGUGGCGAAGGCGGCAUCCUGGACCGACAUUGACGCUGAGGAGCGAAAGCUAGGGGAGCAAACGGG